ACGAGUUGUGCAAACGUUAUUCGGAAUCACUGGGCUUAAAGGGUGCGUAGGCGGCUACGAAAGUCAGGUGUGAAAUCCCUCGGCUCAACCGAGGAACUGCGCUUGAAACUGUGUAGCUUGAGGGAGACAGAGGUGAGCGGAACUGAUGGUGGAGCGGUGAAAUGCGUUGAUAUCAUCAGGAACACCGGUGGCGAAAGCGGCUCACUGGGUCUUAUCUGACGCUGAGGCACGAAAGCCAGGGGAGCAAACGGGA
rnacentral:rRNA from 1 species